GGUCCGGUAGCUCAGUUGGAUAGAGCGAUUGCCUCCUAAGCAAUAGGUCGUGGGUUCGAUUCCCGCCCGGAUCA
rnacentral:tRNA from 1 species